rnacentral:misc_RNA from 1 species
UAAUAAGUGUUUAUGGCACUUCUUAAAUCCAUAUCCACCUUGUGUGCAAUGUCAGCCGUUUUCUUUAUGAAAGCAGCCAAACAUCAACUUAUUUUUUAACUGUCUGUCUGAAAACUAUUAUGAAUAAACAAUUCAAAUA